rnacentral:rRNA from 1 species
AGCAGCCGCGGUAAUUCCAGCUCCAAUAGCGUAUAUUAAAGUUGUUGCAGUUAAAAAGCUCGUAGUUGAAUUUCGGGAUCAAUUAAUUGGUCGUGCCUCUGGUACGUACUGAUUUUAUUGGUUUCUCCCUUCUGACGAACCAUGAUGUCAUUAAUUUGGUGUCGUGAAGAAUCAGGACUGUUACUUUGAAAAAUUAGAGUGUUUAAAGCAAGCUAACGCUUGAAUACAUUAGCAUGGAAUAAUGAAAUAGGACGUUUGAUCCUAUUUUGUUGGUUUCUAGGAUCGACGUAAUGAUUAAUAGGGAUAGUUGGGGGCAUUAGUAUUCAAUUGUCAGAGGUGAAAUUCUUGGAUUUAUUGAAGACUAACUACUGCGAAAGCAUUUGCCAAGGAUGUUUUCAUUAAUCAAGAACGAAAGUUAGGGGAUCGAAGACGAUCAGAUACCGUCGUAGUCUUAACCAUAAACUAUGCCGACUAGGGAUCGGAUGAUGUUAAUUUUUAAUGACUCAUUCGGCGCCUUACG